rnacentral:lncRNA from 1 species
GUUGUUAACUUUCCUUUGCAAUACAGCACGUCAAGCGUUGUGUGUCUAAAGUAAAGACCUCUAACUAAAGGAGGAAUAGCACUAUGCUGAAAUAUCUCCAAAGAUAGGGCUGCUUGAAAUAAGAAACUCAUUAACUCAGUAGUGAUAGAGCUUUAGAUGCUUGGUGUUGAGAGAGAACAGUGAAUGUGGAAAUUACUUUGAGCUUCUUAUGUUAAUGACAUUUUUAUUUAAAUUUAUAGGAUCGUAAAAAUAAAGUAGCGCAUUUAAAUGUCCAGACCAACACAACUCUUGCUCCUACAGCCCUUGCUCUUCUUGUAGACAAAUAAUUAUGGCUGCAGUCUGUUUCAUCUUUCUUCCUAAAUAUGCAUUCAACCAUACAUACAAUCACAUACUCAGAGGCACUCUAACUGAUUGGAGGGCAGUAACAGUGGAGAUGCUGCUGUCAAGACACUUGUUCAAGAUCUGGCAGCUGUAACAAAUAGCCGACCCGUCCAGUCUGUGACUCAUUCACCGGAGGCCCGUCUUUGCGCACCAUCACACAACCCUCAUCUCCUGUGGUUGAGGCACAGCCUGUGAUGCUCUUGGAGCUGAUGGACCACACAGAGUCGUCUGGCUGGAGCAACGAUCCAUUCGUGAUACGUGAGAUCCAUCCGUGAUACGUGA